CAGUAGCCACGGUAACACGGAGGAUCCAAGCGUUAUCCGGAAUCAUUGGGUUUAAAGGGUCCGUAGGCGGUCUUGUAAGUCAGUGGUGAAAGCCCAUCGCUCAACGGUGGAACGGCCAUUGAUACUGCAGGACUUGAAUUAUUGGGAAGUAACUAGAAUAUGUAGUGUAGCGGUGAAAUGCUUAGAGAUUACAUGGAAUACCAAUUGCGAAGGCAGGUUACUACCAAUUGAUUGACGCUGAUGGACGAAAGCGUGGGUAGCGAACAGGAUUAGAUACCCCUGUAGUCCCUGUCUCUUAUAA
rnacentral:rRNA from 1 species